AAGAGCUCUGCAAGCGAAACAAAAACGCAUUAGUUUCAGCCGGCGGUAUGUUUGUCUUUCCCUGUAUUUGCACUUGAGUUUCGAUAUGAUGCUUGUAGAAUUAUUACGCAUAAAAUCAAAAAAAAAGUACUUCCUUAAGCAGCUUUAGUAAUAAUGGAACAGAAGCAAUGCUGAGUAUGUGGAUGGAUGUCUGGUACUCACUUUGAAGUGUUGAAGGACUGUCCUGUUGAACAGUGCGGUGUCCAGUUCAUCCUUGGAUUCCUAAACAAACAGUAUAAGAAACUUUUCAUUUCAAAAUGACUGUCAUGCUGUGAUGCACCUGACUGAAAUGCUUUUAAGACUGAAGCCUGAUAGACACUAAAUAAGGCAAAACCUUCUAAAAGUUAAGCAACUGAAAGCUACUCACAUAGUAGUCUCGGAUGAUGGAGUAUGAAGAACGAAGUGCUUUCAGUCUGACUGGAAAUCCCUCAACGAAAGAGCAGCAACUGUCUUGGCAGGUGAUCCUUUUGCACUGAGCAGCCCCAAGCAGCAGAGCAGCCAGCAAAGAAAGCAGGAGGAACCUAAGCAGGAGCAUUCUCGAAGAUCUCGUCACGCUGGUGUUAACCCUUUCGUAAGCCUGCAGCUGAAUCCUCGGGGGAGGAGAAGUGAAGAUAAGCUGAGAGGUGCCUUUUUAUAGGCCAAAAAAUUUCUUCCCGUUUGGAGGUGGAUGGAUCCUGGCGGAAACUUCCCAGACUUGCACGCAGAAACAUGAGGUGAGGAUCGUAUCAGAGAUCCUGGAGCUGUACCCUGAUUCAUCUAAGGUUAGUAUUAAAAUACACAGUCACAUUUGUCAGUUUGUUAAAUGGUGUGUUUUAGAUGACUGGUAGUUUAUCAUUGUCACUGUUCUUUAAUUCCCAUCUCUGCUAAUUUCCUCGGAUGUGUUUUGAUCAGGUUUUUGUUUUUUCAAGAGCGAGUUCUUUACAAGAAUCUAAUCAUUCAUUAGAUUACCUGGAGUAAAAAUAUAUGAGUCAGAAUUUGUGCACUCCUGACCGAAUCUGAGACUUGAAAAGAACGCUUCAAGGUAGUUGCGUUAUGAAAACAUCCUCGCUUGAUGCAGUAGAUGGUAUAAGGGGCAGCAUGACGCUGACACAGAUAUUCCCGUUUACACCAAUACACUUAUCAUAGACUAAUUUGGUUGUGACGAACAUUGUGGUUGAUACUUUUUGUGUGACAGAGAUGGUAUUAAUAAUGUCUAUACCAGGUUUAUUAUGUCCAAGAUCAAGAUCUAAAAUAAUCUAAGAUCUAAAAAGGUGUCAAAGUAUGAUGAGUAUCUUACGAACUGCAUCAGCAAAUUCACAUAUGUCACAUGGGUUUUUUUCCCCCCACAUUUGCACAUUGCGAAUCUUUAUUUUCCACAUUUGCCACCAGUUACCCUGUAAUAAAUUUUUAUCUAAAAACAGUUAGUUUGAUCUGUGAUGUCAUUUUGAUCCGUGAUGUACAUCAAAAAUUAAGAUCAGAAAUUCUCAGCAGUCAGAGUUUCCAAACAAUGGUAGUUUUUCUGAAAGGGGAUUAUUGUUAUUUACUUUAUUGUUGUUGUUGUUGUUGUUGUUGUUGUUGUUUUGUUUUUUUAAAUGCCAAAUGUUCU